GAUGAACGCUGGCGGCGUGCUUAAUACAUGCAAGUCGAACGGAAAGGCCCUGCUUUUGUGGGUUGCUCGUUUGGCGAACGGGUGAGUAACACGCGAGUAACCUCCCCUUGACUUUGGGAUAACUUCAGGAAACUGGGGCUCUUACCGGAUAUGAGCUCCUGCUGCAUGGUGGGGGUUGGAAAGUUUCGGCGGUUGUGGAUGGACUCGCGGCUUAUCCGCUUGUUUGUCGGGUAGUGGCUUACCAAGGCUUCGACGGCUAGGCUGCCUGGGAGGGUGACCGGCGACAAUAGGCCUGAGGGAGGGAGCAGACUCGUACGGGAGGCAAUAGUGGGGAAUAUUGCACAGUGGGGGGGAGCCAGUGGCAGAAACGCCGCGUGCGGGAUAACGGGCUACGGGUUGUAAACAGAUUUGGACUGUGACGAAGCGUGAGUGACGGUAAUGGGUAAAGAAGCACCGGCUAACUACGUG
rnacentral:rRNA from 1 species